ACCAGGAUGGCCGAGUGGUUAAGGCGUUGGCUUUAAGAUCCAAUGGAUGAAUGUCCUUGUGGGUUCGAAUCCCAUUCCUGGUA